UACCCAGCAACUCCUAUCCAUACCUCCACGCGGUACCGGCCGGAAACUAUGAGCAACCUUAGGGAAGAUCGGGUAACCAACCCCGGUGGGAACUUUGGUCGUAGGCUGACAGGUAAGG
rnacentral:ribozyme from 1 species